GUCUUCAGGCAACGGCCAAUUGACAACAAGUAGUGCAAUUGCCCCAAUUCCUGUGUUGUCAUCAUCGUCAUCCAUGGGUUCACCACUGUUUUGGAUUGGAGUUGGAGUUGGUCUGUCAGUCAUUUUUCAAGUGGUUGCAAAUAGAUUAAAGUACACUGUCCAGGUCUCUUUUGGAAAUAACAAGAUGAUCUUCCUAUCCUUAGAAAGGUUUUGCACAUUCUUGGCUUCCUUUUGUUAGU